rnacentral:rRNA from 1 species
CCUUUACACUGCACGACAGUGCGAUAAGGGGACUCCGAGUGCGAGGGCAUAUAGCCCUCGCUUUUCUGUACCGUAAGGUGGUACAGGAACAAGGGCUGGGCAAGACCGGUGCCAGCCGCCGCGGUAAUACCGGCAGCACGAGUGAUGGCCGAUCUUAUUGGGCCUAAAGCGUCCGUAGCUGGCCAGACAAGUCCGUUGGGAAAUCCACGUGCUCAACGCGUGGGCGUCCGGCGGAAACUGUUUGGCUUGGGACCGGAAGACCCGAGGGGUACGUCCGGGGUAGGAGUGAAAUCCCGUAAUCCUGGACGGACCGCCGGUGGCGAAAGCGCCUCGGGAAGACGGAUCCGACAGUGAGGGACGAAAGCUAGGGUCUCGAACCGGAUUAGAUACCCGGG